rnacentral:misc_RNA from 1 species
CGAUACAUUUCUCGUACAUCGCUCUCGCUCUCGCUCUCUCUCCUGCUGUCCACGACCGACCAAAGGCGCCGGGCACAGACUCUUCGUCGGAUCCAAGAGAAGCUCGCGCCCUCCCCGACCAUGGUCUCGGCGGAUACCAUCCGUACGGCUAUCGGCGUCAUCGGCAAUGGCACCGCCCUUGUGCUCUUCCUCUCCCCGGUGCCCACCUUCGUGGGCAUCUGGAAGAAGCGUGCGGUGGAGCAGUACUCGCCGAUCCCGUACGUGGCGACGCUGCUGAACUGCAUGAUGUGGGUGCUGUACGGGCUGCCGCUGGUGCACCCGCACAGCAUGCUGGUGGUGACCAUCAACGGCACCGGCAUGCUCAUCCAGCUGACCUACGUGGCGCUCUUCAUCCUCUGCUCCGCGGGGGCGGUGCGCCGCAGGGUCGUGCUCCUGUUCGCCGCCGAGGUCGCCUUCGUCGUCGCCUUGGCCGCGCUGGUGCUCACCCUGGCGCACACGCACGAGCGCAGGUCCAUGCUCGUCGGCAUCGUCUCCGUCUUCUUCGGCACCGGCAUGUACGCUGCGCCGCUCUCGGUCAUGAAAUUGGUGAUCCAGACAAAGAGCGUGGAAUACAUGCCCCUGUUCCUGUCCCUGGCCUCCCUCGCCAACAGCAUCUGCUGGACCGCCUACGCGCUCAUCCGCUUCGACCUCUACAUCACCAUCCCCAACGGGCUGGGCGUGCUGUUCGCGCUGGGUCAGCUGGGCCUGUACGCCAUGUUCUACAAGAACACCAAGCAGAUCAUGGAGGCACGCAGGCGCAAGGCCGACCAGCAGUCAACCAUGAUGGAGGUGGUCACCGACGCCUCCGCCACGCCGCCCCCGCCACCCAACAACAACAACGGCGGCGGCGGCGGCAACGGCUACUGAUCGCAUGCAACAGGAAGGACGACGACGAUCGACCAGCAAGCAAAAGCCACAUACAUAGCGUCGUCGUAGCGCCCCGCCGCCCACCGAAUGCUUGUUGUUCCGAUUCCGAUCUCCCCAAGGGGACGAUGCUCCGUUGCAUUCUCUGCAUAUCCUACUAAUAUAACGAAACGAAACAAAACAAAAGACAGCACAAAAGGGCUUGCUGGGUUUCACAUUUACCAUAUAUAAUCGUCUGCUGCUGU